GGCAUUUAUCAGACAGAGAAGCGGCGAGCCAUUAAAAUGGAGGCAAUUUGACGAAAUAUCGAAGGACAAAAUAUCGAAGAUAAAAUACACUGCACUGUCUCACAACUUGAUGAAACUUGGUUGAAAUAUUCUUUAGCCCUUUAUGAUUAUGUAAAAGUAGAACAACUGGAUGAUAUUUGCGAGACUCGGCGAUAAAAAAGCAAACAAGAUGGCAAAGUAUGGCUGAAAUCGUGUUUUCGUGUGGGGUCUAUUAUAGUUUGGCAGUUAGGCGGUUUUGGCGCAUUUGAGAUGGCGGUUUUCGGAUUAUCUCAAUUUUCGUGGCGGUUUACGGUGAAGAAGUAAUCACUCGGUAAUGGAAAAUCGUUGAGCAUAGACUAUAUAUAUAACUCAUGAGCUCCAUUUGAAGAUUGGCUGCCAAUUCACAAAAAUAAAAGCCCAGACAAAGAAAUGAACGUGUCCACAAAACAAAACAAUUAUAUUUAUUUUUACCAUGCGAACCUACGUCAAGGAUCUUAUUGACGUUAACUAUUUUUUUAUUAUAAACGCCUGAACUCUGAAGUAUUUUGUUUUUAAUUUUCUUUGUUCAGAAAUGAAGGGAGGCAAAACAUUUCAAUUCCUACAGACAGAAUGUCUGUACUCCCCCACAAGCUUGCAAUAAUAGUUAGUUAUAGCUACGUGAAGUAUUGAAAUUCUUUUCAGAGAUACUGCAUGUGUUCUAUUUAGGUCUGCAACUUGCGAGGGGCAGCCCUGUAUUAGAAAAACUGAUGACGGUUACGGUUUUCACGAAGAAAACACGGGCGAUUAACGGUGAAGGAGACAAAAAUAGGACGGUUUGCGGAGCGACCAACCCCCUAUAAUAGACUCCCGUGAGGGGGGGGGGGGGUAAGUGAAAUAAAAUGUAUUAUAUUAAAAGAAAACAAUGACAAUCCUUAUGAAAUCCACAAUAAUUAUAUUGAUCUAAGCAUAGUUUUUCAUCCCAUAAUAAUUUUUUUUAGGAAAUAAGAAAAUUUAAUUUCUGCCAGGCAUAUUAAUUAUUUUGUGCAUAAUCAGCAAUUUACCUGGGGUGGUACAUAGUCAUUUUCUGGUAAAAUAUUAUUCUUAGACAAAUUUUUCCUUCCAAUGACCACCCCUAAAAGCAACCCUUCUAAACACUAUAAGCACUUCAGAAAGACUAUCGCUUUUUGUUUUCUGAAGUUAGAGCUAUGUCGACACUGCCGUUUCAGGGCGGGGUCAUUUUCAAGAAUUUCGUCCCGGAUUCAGGUUUUGGCACAUAUGCCAUGUUGACGCCAUUGGUCAUUUUACCCUAAAACAGUUGAGAUUACCUGUGCUAAAUGAAACGCAUACGAACUCAUAUACAGGUCCUAGACUUUGUAAAACAACAAAAUAUAUCUUUGCAAAAUGAACUUAAAACAAUUUUUUAGUGCGAGCUUGUACACGCACAUGCGCCAUCGAAGACCGUCCAUCACAUAAUGGAGGACAACUUUGCAUUUCGCUAUGUUCUCAAAUACCCGCGUGUAAAUAGUCGGGUGGAAUUAGUACCUCGCCUCGGGGCCGGGCUUACACCGUUGGCUCGGGGAUAAUAUACUUAUUAUAUAUUUCGAUCAUAUUUCACUUUCAUUCGAUAGCGAAUCGACCAGAUUUGAAGCUUGCGUAAAAAUCAUAUUUAGAAUCUUUUUUUUUAUAACAGGCGGUAAAUUAUAUCAUGUUAUAGAUAAUUUUAAUGCCAAUGACGAAGAAACAGUUUCCACUCCCCGAGCAAGUUAAAAAUUACACAUUUUGUUCAUAUUUAUUUUUUAUUCUCAGCUUUGUUUGUUUGGUUUUGGUUUUUUGGUUUUUUGGUUUUUUGGUUUUUUGGUUUGGUUUUUUGGUUUGUUUUUUUGGGUUUUUUUGUUUGUUUUUUUGUUUGUUUUUUUGUUUGUUUUUUUGUUUGUUUGUUUGUUUGUUUGUUUGUUUGUUUGUUUGUUUGUUUGUUUGUUUGUUGGUUUGUUUGUUUGUUUGUUUGUUUGUUUGUUUGUUUGGUUGUUUGUUUGUUUGUUUGUUUGUUUGUUUGUUUGUUUGUUUGUUUGUUUGUUUGUUUGUUUGUUUGUUUGUUUGUUUGUUUGUUUGUUUGUUUGUUUGUUUGUUUGUUUGUUUGGUUGUUUGUUGGUUGUUUGUUGGUUGUUUGUUGGUUGUUUGUUGGUUGUUUGUUGGUUGUUUGUUGGUUGUUUGUUUGUUGGUUGUUUGUUUGUUGUUUGUUGUUUGUUGUUUGUUGUUUGUUGUUUGUUGUUUGUUGUUUGUUGUUUGUUGUUUGUUUGUUGUUUGUUUGUUGUUUGUUUGUUUGUUUGUUUGUUUGUUUGUUGUUGUUUGUUGUUGUUUGUUGUUGUUGUUUGUUGUUGUUUGUUUGUUUGUUUGUUUGUUUGUUUGUUUGUUUGUUUGUUUGUUUGUUUGUUUGUUUGUUUGUUUGUU